rnacentral:misc_RNA from 1 species
GAUGAAGAACACAGCGAAAUGCGAUAAGUAAUGUGAAUUGCAGAAUUCAGUGAAUCAUCGAAUCUUUGAACGCACAUUGCGCCCUUUGGCAUUCCGAAGGGCACACCUGUCCGAGCGCCGUCGCACAACUGAGGCGCAGCCUUGCGUUGGCGGGCGACUUGUGAGUAGCGAGUCGCCGCCCAAACGAGACGGCGCCGCGCCGCGGCCGACGAAGCACGAAAGCGGAAGUCGACGCGGAGGCGGUUGCCUGUAGGAAGACACAGCUUGGCCUCGGAUCAGGUGGGGAUACCCGCUGAACUUAAGCAUAUCAAUAAGCGGAGGA